GGAUUUAUAGUGAUCCUAGAUUAUCUCAAUGGCAUUGAGGGGGUCAGCAGUUCGAGUCUGCUUAGCUCCA
rnacentral:tRNA from 2 species